rnacentral:tRNA from 1 species
GGAGAGGUUCCCGAGCGGCCAAAGGGGUCAGACUGUAAAUCUGAUGGCUAUUGUCUUCGAAGGUUCGAAUCCUUCUCUCUCCACCA